UUCAUAGUUUAUAUUUCCAUUAAAAUCCAUAAGAUUCUCUCAAGUAACUAUCUCGAUGGAAUCCAAAGGCAACUCUACAGUCUCCAGCGAUCAGAAGACCAACGAGAAGACGUUCGCUUCCUCCGCGACUAUGAAGCCACACGGGAAGUCUACUGCUGCCUCGGCGAUUGCGGCGAAACCUAACGGCAAGAGUGAUGUUCCAUCUGACAUUCCGAAGAAGCAAAAAUCUGAUGUUGCUCUCUCCUCCGCGCAUGGCGACCGAUCGAUGUUCUUCAUAGAUGUUUCAUUCGGCCCACACGAAGUUGAGCUGAGGUUUCGUCUGAUUCACUUUUGGGAGGCUCGAAAUCCAAACACGAAAGAACUCAUCGGACAGGAGAUGCUUCUUAUUGACGAAGAGGGAACUGUCAUCCAAGGUUUUAUUACAGCAGGACGGGUUGGGAUGUAUAAGCUGACAUCAGGUUCUGUUUAUAAACUGAGUAACUUCUUCGGAUCCAGAAGCAAAGUCCAGUUUCGGGUUGCUGAUCAUAGGGCCACCAUUUCGUUCUCUUGGAACUCUGAUUUGAAAGUUCUCGAGAACCAUCCGGUCCCGAUUCUCGAAGACAGGUUCAAGUUCCAUAGCUACGAGGAGUUUCAGGCCAACUGCGACCGCAUAGUUGAUCUUUAUGAUUAUGUUGGCCACAUGAAACUGGUGAAUGGGCAGACUAUCACUGACCACACUGCUCUUGAUGAAGUUGACAUAGCAGAGAAGCGGCAUCUGUGUGUUCAUGUACAAACACAUGACGGACCAGUGAUGAAGCUCCAUCUAUGGGACAAUGCUGCAUCCGAGUUCUGCCAGAAGUUCAUAUCAUAUGGACGGACUCCAACCGUUCUUUUGGUCACCACAGUAAACCCUAAAUAUCUUGGAGGAACCCUUGCUCUUGCUUCUAUGGCAUCAUCUAGAGUGUUUAUGGAUACUGAUGUCCAGCCUACCAAGGAUUAUCUUGCAUGGCUGAGCUCUAACUUGGACAUUGCUAAUAAGAUUACGGCAGAGGUUGUCACUAAGCGUGAGCCAGUAACACUAGAGGAACUAUACUCUUACAUCAAGCAGGAGACUGCUAAGGUUGCUUGGUUUGAGUGCACAACAACUAUAGAUGAUAUUGUCCAGAGUUCUUCUUGGUAUUAUAUUUCUUGCGGUGGGUGUAAUAGUAACACAAUCAAAGGGUCUACUUCACUGAUUUGCAACAAUAAGAAGUGUGUGAAAAGGGAGGUUACAGGCGUUCCUCAAUAUCUCACGAAGAUUGCGGUUUAUGAUAAGAGUGAACAAGCAGUUUUUGCCAUUCUUGGUGAUGCUGGUAAAGAGUUGACUGGGAAGCAUGCAUCCGAAUUGGUUGCCAAAUAUUUUGAGUCAAAUGAGGGAUUAGGAGCUAAGCAUCUCGUGCCGGUACUGCAAGCUUUACUUGAUACGAUAGGGCACACGCACAAGUUCAUUGUCAAAGUCUCAGAUCAUAACCUAACAGGCAAGACUCAAACCAUAACUGUCACAAAGAUACUUCCACCAGAAGCUCCACUUGCUAUAGCACACUUGGAAGAAGGCACUACUCCAGCAGUGUCCGAUGAUGUUUUGAAGGGUGUAGGUGAUGAACCUGGUCCUUCUACAAGCUUUGAGCAUUCCGCUGGUGAUAGGGUUAGAAAAUCCUCUGAGAGUCUUGAAUCACUUGAAGCAAAGCGUUCCAAGAGUGGCUAAUAAAGCCUCAGCCUAUCCUCUUAUGCAGUGAUUGUGUGUUGCUGCAGUUUAAGUAAUGGUGAUGCAGCGCAUCCCUUGGUUUACGUUCGGUUAUGUGUUAAACCGAUAGUCACUCUUUCUGUCGAGUCAUUAGGAUUUGUCUUUAUCUUAGGAGAUCUUUUACAAGUUAGUUAAUAUUCAUAGGAUUAGGAUAAGUCCAAGAAGAGUCGGUGUUCGUUUUCAUUAUAUAAAGCAAUCUAGCGUCAUGUAAAAACUCACCUUUUGAUUGAAUUAUUCAGAGCUUUUUACAGUUCUUAUUUCUCUUGUUUUCGGCAUUCAAACAUCGAAUCAA